UCGAACCCACAGACCAUGAGAUCAUGACCUGAGCCUAAGUCGACACUUAACCGACUGAGCCACCCGGGCGCCCCUGCUUGAUUUUACUUUGUAAGUUAAGGAAAUACCCACUUCCUCAGAUGUGCUCAUUCCUAACCUUUUGCAGAGGUUAGUAGAGUCAACUUGUGAAUGCACAACUGUGUUACUCGUCCUUUGCACGUGACCUCAGCAGUUGAAAGGUAAAACUGUAGAUACCUCAUUGGUUUUUGUUGUUCUGACCGUGGUACUUUACAAUUCCUUCCUCCAGGCAUGAGUCCGCUCCACAAUCAUUUUGGUCUCUUUUUAGAGGGACGUCAAGAAUAAAGCUGUAAAGUGAGGAAGGGACUCUUCUCCGUUUCAGUGUCUUGAUCUAGUGGUGGGUAAGAUUGGGCACAUGAUCGUUUUACACAAAAAUGUAAGGCUUUUUGCUAAUUUAAAUGUAGCAUAUCAAAACUCAUGUUCUACAAACGUUUAACUCUGUAAAUGUUCUUUUCAAUGGUAUGUACGUAACGCCGCAUCCUGACUCACUGUCGCGGUAUUUCACGUGGACUGAACAGGGUUGUGGCCACUUCCAAACGUGCACCUUUGCUGUUUCCUCUUGUAUAAAUAGUGACGCUGUAAUGUGCUUUUAUGCUGAUCAUUUUGUUUCCGAUCAUUUUAAUGGCCACUAUGAUGAUGUUAUUCAAAUAAUAAAAUACUUAACAAGAUAAAGCAAGACUUCUUCCUCAAGUUUUGACAGACCAUUCAUUAAUGUGAUGAGCCUUUUGGUUUUUUAUUGCUCUUUCCUUCAUAUCUGUUGAAAAUGUUUAUUUGGCUUAAGAGUAAUAUUAACAGCAGACGUUUCAUCAUAGAGGAAAGGAAUUUAAAGGCAGCUUCCUAAAUCUGUCUUCUGCCGCCUUCUCUCUUAGCACUCCGCUCUAGGCCCUUGAGGCUGCUUUCUCCAUGCUCUGGAUCCAACUCUCCCCUCCCCGCUGCCUGAAGAGCCAUCCUUUCAGCAAUCGCCACGCGACUGUCCCUACGCACUUAACGUGGAGAGGAAAUGAAAGACCUGGCUUCCGCUUCACGUGGGAGGGGCCGAAAAUAACAUUUUAAAAAGGGUGAUCUAAGAGUGAGAAGAAUGAAAAUCAUGUCCAAAGGAAUUAAUCUCGAACAGUCUGUUAUUAGAGCAUGAGCAUCAGCAUAAGGAGUCCUGCUUCCGGUCCUGUUCGACAAGGGGCGUGGCGGCAGAGGACCGCACCCUUGCAGCCCAUUUUCUGCCCUCCAAAAAUGACGAUGCUCCUCCUGCCACUCCUCACAGGGCGGCCGUUAAAGGUCUACACCACUACCAGGACCAGCUCCUGAGGAAACAGGGACAGCAGCAGAGGGCCCUUACCCGGUGGACAUCGUGAGCGAAUGGCCGCACGGGUCUCAUCAGGAGGGCGACACGGGAUCAGGAACGCGCCAGCAUUGAAGAGGGAGGGGCUUCAGCCCCUGAGCAGUGCGGGAGAAACAUUCUUAUCCGAGGAGCUGGUCAUCGGUGCCCUCAGUGCAGAGAAGUGGCAACGAGAUGUGGUGUAACAGGAUGGCAUGGGAAGAGCAGGUUAAUGAUGGGGAUCUCGUCCAUCCAAACCGCUAACAUGUAAUCUGACUGCCCCCUCGGAGGACUAAGUGAAAGCACUUGCACAGCACGCAUCACGGGGCUGGCACAUCACACACGUGAGUGCUGGCCGUGUGCUCCGGAAGUAGUCGUGGGGUGCGGGGCACCUCCGGGCCGACUUGGGUGCAGGAAAUGCCGCUCGCAGGUCGUCACCAGUAUCUCCAGGGCUGACGGGCUACCUCAGUUGGUGUUUGCAUUCCUGUCUCUAAGGGCACACAGAGCCUCAUGUAUUAAUUACCAGCUAGAUUUUCUCCAGGUUUCAGUGACUUCUCCUGAGACACUUGGGGGGCUGAUGUGAUGAUGAUCUCAUGGUUUUUUUCCACCGCCAGUGCCUUGAACUCUCUGAGGUUCUCCAGCCUCGGUCUGAAUUAUAUAAAUAAAGGUGCUCUAAUUGCUAAA